GUAUUGCUGAGGAGUUCCACAAUAGGACGAAACGGCCGUCCAGUGC
rfam:Schistosoma mansoni strain Puerto Rico chromosome 3, complete genome